CGCAUGCGUGUGUCUCUAAGGCAGUCUCCUGGACCCCAGACUGGAUUCUAGUUCACUAUGUAGGCAAGGAUGAUGUUGGACUUCUGAUCCUCCCGUUCCCACAGGUGUGCAUCACCACAUCUGGUUUUAUACGACACUGGGCAUUGAACCCAGGGCUUUGUGCACUCUAGGCAAGCAUUUUACCAACUGAGCUAUGGUCUCUGCCUCCCCCCACCCCCAGUUCUUUAGUCCUAAUAAGCUAAGUUUUCCACGGGAGCGCUUUCAGCAACAGUGGUCUAGUAGAUAGUUUAUGGCUGUAAUGUAAUAUGUGCUCUGAGGAGAAUAAAUGGUUACCUAAUGACUUACUGUGGUGCCGAGUUCAGUACAGGAAGAGAAGGCCAUAUCUGUGCUAUGAUAAGUUAGCCCCGAGGCCCAUCAGGGCUGAUGGAGAUCUACAUGGUCACGCCAGGAAGCUCUUGGUAAGCUAGAACUUCCUACCAGUCUCUUUCUGGUGGGCACAGUGGCCCUGGUGACUCUCAGCAUCUGUGUUUAAUACGUUUUUUUUUUUAUUAAAAACAAGAACUGCUGUAGCUCCCCAGAAACUGAAUUUGUGCACACGGAUAUUUCUUUUUUCUUCAGAGAGGAGAGUAAAACAUUUAUUUUCAACAUCGCAAUCAAUCUCCCUCUCGGGGAUGAGCCUUGCUGCAUGAAAGACAGCGGUGAGAUGAGUGGCUUGCCGAACGGGAAAUCUUAUUUGCUCGGAUUCCGUCUAGUCUUGUACAAACAGGCUCUAUGUGUGGAGGCAAAGGCCCAUGGAGGUCAGAAGAGGGCAUAAGAUUCCCUGGAACUUGAGUUAAGGAUGGUCGUGACUCACCAUGUGGACAUUGGGAACUGUAAGAGCAGCAGGAGCUCUAAUUGUUCUCACCGUGGCUCCGUGCGACUAAGCGACUCGUCCACAGAUGCGCUGAUGCGAGCUGCCAGAGGCAGACCUGACAGGGACUGUCUCACCUCAGAGCCUGGGCGCUCAGGGCUCCCCCAGUCACUGUCUGCCUUGCCUCUCUGAGCCUUCAUUUCUUUUGGUGGGGAGCUUCGCUCGCUCAGAUCGACACCCGACUUUCAGCGGAAUCGAUGAGCCGUGAGAACUGGACUGUUUGCGUGAGCUAGAGAGAGGGCUCAGUGGUUGGGAGCACUGGCUGCUCUUGUAGAGACCUGAGUUGGAUUCCCAGCGCUUGUGACUUAACUCCAGCACCAGAGGAUCUGACGUCUUGCCUCCAUAGGCUCCUGAACUCAUGUGUACAUGUCCAACAUAAUACAUAACUCAAACUAAAGAUGAACCUUGAAGAGGAAGAGGAGAAAGAGACAGAAGGACAGAGAGAGCUCUCCUUCCGAAGAGCGUGGCGCACUUCAAGCUCUCAGCCACAGGCCAUUCUCCUGGGCUCCUGUCCUCUUCACCCAUCGUGUGCUAACUGCUCAGCUUGGGUGUUAGGUCUGAUGACCAAUCUUGCUCAGCACCACCCAGUGGGCUCUCCCCUCAAGAGCUUACUCGUUACGAGUAGCGCACUGCAUCAUGGGGCAAGCAUGGGACAUUGGCUCAGAGUCCAGAAAGUCACCUCCAUCUGCAGAUGGAAUUAUACGGCAGUUAUGGGACUUCUGUAUCAGGGCACUUGGGGGAUUUGAAGACACACUAAGUGAUAGUGAUAAUAUUUAGAUAAUUUCUAAUAACCUGAAGAGUGUGGACACACACACACAAUCACACGAUCACACAAAUACACACAUAUUGGGUAGCUGCAAACCAGAACCCUCAAAGGGAUUUAAUUUUUUCCAGUCUAUGAAAUCUGAAUAAUACAUGUCUCCACAUCCUCGCCAGCAUCUGCUGUCACCUGAGUGUUUGGUCUUAGCCAUUCUGACUGAUGUGAGGUGGAAUCUCAGGGUUGUUUUAAUUUGCAUUUCCCUGAUGACUAAGGAUGUUGAACAUGUCUUUAGGUGCUUCUCAGCCAUUCGGCAUUCCUCAGCUGAGAAUUCUUUGUUUAGCUCUGUACCCCAUUUUUAAUAGGGUUAUUUGGCUCUCUAGAGUCUUUGUAUAUAUUGGAUAUUAGCCCUCUAUCAGGUGUAGGAUUGAUAAAGAUCUUUUCCCAA